GUGCUCCUAGUUGUGUUAAGUGUUGGCAUAUAUCCGGACCCCACCCUAAGGUCUGGACCUUAAGCCCCGGAACUUCCUUCUCCCCAUGCGAAGUCCGGGGUCUUUUUUUGCCUGCGA
rnacentral:sRNA from 2 species